GCGGGGGGGGCGUGCCUAAUACAUGCAAGUCGUGCGCACGGAAGGGAGCUUGCUCCCGGAAGUGAGCGGCGGAUGGGUGAGUAACACGUGGGCAACCUGCCUGAAAGACGGGGAUAACUCCGGGAAACGGGAGCUAAUACCGGAUAGGGCUCCGACACCGCCUGGUGUCGGAGGGAAAGAUGGUUUCGGCCAUCGCUUUCAGAGGGGCCCGCGGUGCAUUAGCUGGUUGGCGGGGCAACGGCCCAACAAGGCCAACGAUGCAUAGCCGACCUGAGAAGGGUGAUCCGCCACAUUGGGACUGAGACACGGCCCAAACUCCUACGGGAGGCAGCAGUAGGGAAUCUUCCGCAAUGGACGCAAGUCUGACGGAGCAACGCCGCGGGAGCGAAGAAGGUUUUCGGAUCGUAAAGCUCUGUUGCCGGAGAAGAACGGGAGGGAGAGGCAAUGCUCCCUUCGUGACGGUAUCCGGCCAGAAAGCCACGGCUAACUACGUGCCAGCAGCCGCGGUAAUACGUAGGUGGCAAGCGUUGUCCGGAAUUAUUGGGCGUAAAGCGCGCGCAGGCGGCUUCUUAAGUCUGAUGUGAAAGGCUGCGGCUCAACCGCAGACGGUCAUUGGAAACUGGGGAGCUUGAGGGCAGAAGAGGAGAGUAGAAUUCCACGUGUAGCGGUGAAAUGCGUAGAGAUGUGGAGGAAUACCGGUGGCGAAGGCGGCUCUCUGGUCUGCAGCUGACGCUGAGGCGCGAAAGCGUGGGGAGCAAACAGGAUUAGAUACCCUGGUAGUCCACGCCGUAAACGAUGAAUGCUAGGUGUUAGGGGGGUCCAACCCCUUAGUGCUGAAGUCAACACAUUAAGCAUUCCGCCUGGGGAGUACGACCGCAAGGUUGAAACUCAAAGGAAUUGACGGGGGCCCGCACAAGCAGUGGAGCAUGUGGUUUAAUUCGAAGCAACGCGAAGAACCUUACCAGGUCUUGACAUCCUCCGACCGCCUGAGAGAUCAGGCUUUCCCCUUCGGGGGACGGAGUGACAGGUGGUGCAUGGUUGUCGUCAGCUCGUGUCGUGAGAUGUUGGGUUAAGUCCCGCAACGAGCCGCAACCCUUGAUCCUAGUUGCCAGCAUGGAGUUGGGCACUUCUAGGGUGACUGCCGGUGACAAACCGGAGGAAGGUGGGGAUGACGUCAAAUCAUCAUGCCCCUUAUGAUCUGGGCUACACACGUGCUACAAUGGGCGGUACAAAGGGCCGCGAGACCGCGAGGUUGAGCGAAUCCCGGAAAGCCGCCCCCAGUUCGGAUUGCAGGCUGCAACCCGCCUGCAUGAAGCCGGAAUUGCUAGUAAUCGCGGAUCAGCAUGCCGCGGUGAAUCCGUUCCCGGGCCUUGUACACACCGCCCGUCACACCAUGAGAGCGGGUAACACCCGAAGUCGGUGGGAGAACCCUUUGGGGACUCAGCCGCCGAAAGGGGACCCCG
rnacentral:rRNA from 1 species